ACGCUCGACACCUACGGGAGGCAGCAGUGGGGAAUAUUGCACAAUGGGGGGAACCCUGAUGCAGCGACGCCGCGUGAGGGAAGAAGGUUUUCGGAUUGUAAACCUCUGUCCUUGGUGACGAUAAUGACGUAGCCAAGGAGGAAGCCACGGCUAACUACGUGCCAGCAGCUGCGGUAAUCUGAGCGGGCUGGCAAGGC
rnacentral:rRNA from 1 species